UUUUUAUCCCUUUGCAUUCUGAAUUUUUAUUUGUGAUACAAAGUAAAAUAAAGCCCAUUAAACCAUUUAUUUACAUGAAAUCAGAGCAUUUGUUCAGACCCAGCAUGUGGUCUGAAGAAAGAUAUUCAAGCACGCAUCUUUCUUUCUUUCUUUUUUUUUUCUUCUCUCUGAUUGCACCAUUUCUUUGAUCAGCCCAUGAAGGCUGUGGAAAGUCGGGAUAUUCAGAAUGUAAGAUGAAAUCUUUGCUUUAACCCUCUGUGUUUAGUGUAGGUCCUGAACCUCAAAUGUGGCUGUGCUGCCUGACUCACCAGAACUUCUGUGACAGCUCAAAUUUCUUGUGCUUGGGUCCUCUUUGCUUUUUCAAGGAAGAAUCAGUGAGGGUGAUGUUUCAUGCCCACUGAUCCUGGAGACCUCCCGAGAGACCCUGGGUCCAGGGUGUGAUCUGUAAAUCGGUGAUAAAGAGUUCCUGCCAUAAUCUCCAUAGGAAAAAAAAAAGGAAAUGCCUUAUGUAAAUAUCUGUAUCUGCUCAUCUGUGUAUUAGUCUGUUGUCAUGCUUCUA
rnacentral:lncRNA from 10 species